UAUUGAUCUACCUGCAGACAUCGCUGUUAUGAAGAAAUGUAGCGAGUGUAACUUUUAGAAGCAAGAGGAAUAAUUGGUGCCAUGGGACACUUUGAAUAGGAUGGCGAUGAUGAUACAGAGGGAUCCGGCUGUCAGCCUGCUGUGAUGUGUGCCUGCUCUGGAUUAAGUGCCUCAUUUUUAUCCUCAUAAACUCAUCGGAGAGGGCCGCCGAACAGUCUGCGGUGCGCGGCGAGCGGGAGCCGGAGGACCCGAGGCUGAACCCGUCUGCUCUGUAGAUGACCCCACAUCAGUUUGCUUUCACUUGUUCCUGUCAAACCUACCCAACACGCUCGCACUCCGGACGUGAAUGAAUGACAAAGCUGUAAUUCAAUCUCAG